ACUCUUCAACCCAUCAGUUUCUUGUAGACUGACUGGAGCUUGGAUUUUGAACGCUGCUGGUCUUCGGAUCCUAGCUCGUUCGUAAUACAUUAGCAACUCUAAUUCGAAUUCGGAUUGACUCAGUGUAAUAGACUAUUCGCUGAGGACACUUGCUUGCAAGUGGCCGAACUAUUGAUACUUGAGCCGCUUCCAACUAUUGUAGUCAACUUUAG
rnacentral:misc_RNA from 1 species